UGGCUCAGGAUAGAACGUACAGCGGCAGGCUUAAACACAUGCAAGUCGGAGGGUAUAGUUCUUCGGAAUUAGAGACCGGCGCACGGGUGCGUAACGCGUAUGCAAUCUACCUUCACAGAGGGAUAGCCAGAGAAAUUUGGAUUAAUACCUCAUAGUAUAGCAGUUUCGCAUGAAACCACUAUUAAAGUCACAACGGUGAAAGAUGAGCAUGCGUCCCAUUAGCUAGUUGGUAAGGUAACGGCUUACCAAGGCAACGAUGGGUAGGGGUCCUGAGAGGGAGAUCCCCCACACUGGUACUGAGACACGGACCAGACUCCUACGGGAGGCAGCAGUGAGGAAUAUUGGACAAUGGGCGCAAGCCUGAUCCAGCCAUGCCGCGUGCAGGAUGACGGUCCUAUGGAUUGUAAACUGCUUUUAUACAGGAAGAAACACUACUUCGUGAAGUAGCUUGACGGUACUGUAAGAAUAAGGAUCGGCUAACUCCGUG
rnacentral:rRNA from 1 species